rnacentral:rRNA from 1 species
CCUACGGGCGGCAGCAGUGGGGAAUAGUGCACAAUGGGGGAAACCCUGAUGCAGCGACGCCGCGUGAGUGAAGAAGUAUUUCGGUACGUAAAGCUCUAUCAGCAGGGAAGAAAAUGACGGUACAUGACUAAGAAGACCCGGCUAACGACGUGCCAGCAGCCGCGGUAAUACGUAGGGGGCAAGCGUUCUCCGGAUUUACUGGGGGUAAAGGGGGCGUAGACGGCUGCGCAAGUCUGGAGUGAACUCCCCUGGAUUAACCAUGGAACUGCUUUUGAAACUGUGCAGCUAGAGUGCAGGAGAGGUAAGCGUAAUUCCUAGUGUAGCGGUGAAAUGCGUAGAUAUUAGGAGGAACACCAGUGGCGAAGGCGGCUUACUGGACUGUAACUGACGUUGAGGCUCGAAAGCGUGGGGAGCACACAGGAUUAGAUACCCCUGUAGGC